GGGUGAUCUGGCUGCGACAUCUGUCACCACACUGAUCACCAGGGUUGAUCCAGCUGAUCUGGCUGGCUAUCACGGCCCCAUGUGUGUCCCUCCCAAAGUUGCAUGCUGGGUUGAGGAGAACAACCUUCCCCGAAUAGAGGAGCAUCUUCAAUCAAGGGUGUGUGAGUAGCUGCACUCUCCAGCUAGACCCUUCAAACAAGUUUUCAUUAUUGGGGUAGACAGUUGCUGGCAAUUUAAAAUAUACUAACUACAGUAUGUUCAUCAUCUCUAAGAAGUUUAAUACUGC
ensembl:misc_RNA 7SK 7SK RNA